AUUGAACGCUGGCGGCAUGCUUUACACAUGCAAGUCGAACGGUAACAGGGUGCUUGGACCGCUGACGAGUGGCGAACGGGUGAGUAAUACAUCGGAAUGUACCCAGUAAUGGGGGAUAACGCUUCGAAAGGAGUGCUAAUACCGCAUACGCCCUGAGGGGGAAAGUGGGGGACCGCAAGGCCUCACGUUAUUGGAGCAGCCGAUGGCUGAUUAGCUGGUUGGUGAGGUAAAGGCUCACCAAGGCGACGAUCAGUAGCGGGUCUUAGAGGACGAUCCCCCACAAUGGAAGUGAGACAGGGGCCAGACUCCUAGGGGAGACAGAGGGGGGGAAUCUUGGACAAGGGGGAAAAGCUUGAUCCAGCAAUGCCGGGUGGGUAAAGAGGGCCUUCGGGUUGUAAGGCGCUUUUGUCGGGGAGAAAACCCUGGCCUCUAAUCCAGGUCGGGGAUGAGAGUACCAAAAGAAUAAGGCCCGGCUAACUACGUGCCAGCAGCCGCCGCAG
rnacentral:rRNA from 1 species